AUUGAACGCUGGCGGCAGGCCUAACACAUGCAAGUCGGACGGUAGCACAGAGAGCUUGCUCUCGGGUGACGAGUGGCGGACAGGUGAGUAAUGUCUGGGGAUCUGCCCGAUAGAGGGGGAUAACCACUGGAAACGGUGGCUAAUACCGCAUAACGUCGCAAGACCAAAGAGGGGGACCUUCGGGCCUCUCACUAUCGGAUGAACCCAGAUGGGAUUAGCUAGUAGGCGGGGUAAUGGCCCACCUAGGCGACGAUCCCUAGCUGGUCUGAGAGGAUGACCAGCCACACUGGAACUGAGACACGGUCCAGACUCCUACGGGAGGCAGCAGUGGGGAAUAUUGCACAAUGGGCGCAAGCCUGAUGCAGCCAUGCCGCGUGUAUGAAGAAGGCCUUCGGGUUGUAAAGUACUUUCAGCGGGGAGGAAGGCGGUGCGGUUAAUAACCGUGCCGAUUGACGUUACCCGCAGAAGAAGCACCGGCUAACUCCGUGCCAGCCGCCGCAGUAA
rnacentral:rRNA from 1 species